rnacentral:rRNA from 1 species
UACGGGGGGAGCAAGCGUUGUUCGGAUUUACUGGGUGUAAAGGGCGCGUAGGCGGUCAGCACAAGUCAGUUGUGAAAUCUCCGGGCUUAACUCGGAAAGGUCAACUGAUACUGUGCGACUAGAGUGCGGAAGGGGCAACUGGAAUUCUCGGUGUAGCGGUGAAAUGCGUAGAUAUCGAGAGGAACACCUGCGGCGAAGGCGGGUUGCUGGGCCGACACUGACGCUGAUGCGCGAAAGCCAGGGGAGCGAACGGG